rnacentral:lncRNA from 1 species
UGUGUUGGAGCAAGCAAGUAAGCCAUCUUCUCCAACUUCGAUUUUAUUUUAUACUAACUUGCUGAUUUUGAUGAUUCAGGCACCUACACUAGAAUUUAAACCAUUGCCGGAUCACGUCAAGUAUCACCUUCCAUUCAAGGAUCAAUUCCAUGCUAUGGGCCCUAUCCAAGCUUAGAAGGAAGUUUCGUCCGGCUGGAAGACGUUAAAGCAAGCGCUUCUUGGGAGGCAACCCAUGUAUUAAAAAAAAAAAAAGAUCUUUGAAUCGCUCCACAAUCAGUUUUGCGUUUCUAAAAACCUUCCAUUUUCUGCAUUUUUAUUUUGCCAUGAUUGUCAUUUUUAUUUGUUGCUUGUUUAAUUGUUUUUGGUGUGGGUUUAUUUUUAAAACAUUGACAGAUAUGCAAGGUAUUUUU